GACGUAGGAUGCAAGCGUUGUCCGGAUUUAUUGGGCGUAAAGAGUUCGUAGGCGGUUCGUUAAGUCUGAUGUUAAAGACUCGGGGCUCAACCCGGGAGUGCAUUGGAUACUGGCGGACUGGAGUGUGGUAGAGGGCGUAGUGGAAUUCCCAGUGUAGCGGUGAAAUGCGUAGAUAUUGGGAAGAACACCGAGUGGCGUAGGCGACUA
rnacentral:rRNA from 1 species